GAGGGUGUGUGGGAGCCUGAGUGCAGGUGAAUUCUGGGACGCUGUCGGCGAGAGGACCCCUGCACUCCGAGUCUGCGGGGCAGAUGUUUGCCCAGGACGGGCUCACUCGGGUGAAUGGGGGCCCUCCAGGAUUUCUGGAGCAGAUAGUGUGGGAAGAACAGGGAUAUUGGAGUCCGAGACCUGAGUCCUGGCCGUGAGGGCAUAGGCAAGCCGUUCUAAGUCCAAGUCCCCAUGUCUGAGGUAGCCCCAACACUCUGUCUGCAGAGGGUGCCGUUAGGUGAGAGCUACGUAUAUUACAUGCCAGGUGCAUUCCAGGUCCUCAGUAAGUACCACUCUUCCCCAGUGCAGCGUAGUAGAAAAAAAUCUUUCAACACUGGCAGCAGUGGGAAACGGUAAAAGGACGAGGGCCAAGAGGCCCAGAAGCCAGGGCACCGAUUUGACACCAAGCUACACGAAGGACGGCCACCGGCACAAGCAGCAGCAGCAGCAGGCCUCUCGGAGCCGUGAACAUGAUCUCCCUCCAGGGCUGACGGAGGCAGCCAGGCCUCUGACAUGUGAUUACACAGGAAGAGAGAGGCCUUUUCAACCUAGUGUUUAAAGACACAACAGCCGGAACCUUCUGAAUAAGAAAAUUUCAAAAGGGGACAAAGCUGCCUGGAUUCCAGCUCCAGGGAUCUGGCCCAGUAAGGAGGAAUAUCCACCAUGAAAUCACAGCAAGUCCAAGUCCUUGGAGGACGGCGCCGCGUGUGUGCAGGAGAGACAGAGUGUGACUUGAGAGCACGGGCGCCCCCUGCAGUGCUGCCAAGGCGAGGGACUGGCCACCUCAUCCUCCUCCACUGACAAGGUCGUGGGAUCUCCGGGCCUGUGAACCCCAAGGAGAACCCCCUACUUGGGAGCUGCCCAUUCUGGACUCAAGCACCAACCACACUCAUGGGCUCUGAAUGCCUGUGGGUCUUCAGGGCCAAACUGGAGAUGCCAUUGCUGCCAAGUUGAGACUUGAAUGGCCAGGAGCUUUCAGAUGACGCUGUCCUUCCGGAGGAGACACUCUCAGGAGCUUUAUGCCAAGGGACACUGUCCGUGAAGAAUUUGUCUGAUUUGGAGACCAUGUAAUUUGCUCCCUUCCCCCAUACCCUGAACUCCCAGUCAGCCAUUGGGAAGCAUAAGGUCUGCUAUGCACAGGGUGAGUAGAGGCAUCGUUCCCAGCCUUUUUUUUUUUUUUUUUUUUUUUGAGACAGUCUCGCUCUGUCUCCCAGGCUGG